rnacentral:rRNA from 1 species
GCGCGAAACCUCUGCAAUAGGCGAAAGCCUGACAGGGUUAUUCUGAGUGACUUUCGCUAAGAAAGUCUUUUGACACCUCUAAAAAUGGUGUAGAAUAAGGGGUGGGCAAGUCUGGUGUCAGCCGCCGCGGUAAUACCAGCACCCCGAGUGGUCGGGACGAUUAUUGGGCCUAAAGCAUCCGUAGCCGGUUUUACAAGUCCUCCGUUAAAUCCAACUGCUUAACAGAUGGGCCGCGGAGGAUACUAUAAGACUAGGAGGCAGGAGAGGCAAGCGGUACUCAGUGGGUAGGGGUAAAAUCCGUUGAUCCAUUGAAGACCACCAGUGGCGAAGGCGGCUUGCCAGAAUGCGCUCGACGGUGAGGGAUGAAAGCUGGGGGAGCGAAACCGGAUUAGAUACCCGGGUAGUCCCAGCUGUAAACGAUGCAGACUCGGUGAUGGACUAGCUUCAUGCUAGCCAGUGCCGCAGGGAAGCCGUUAAGUCUGCCGCCUGGGUAUACGGUCGCAAGACUGAAACUUAAGGAAUU